rnacentral:lncRNA from 1 species
GGCAGGAGGAGGUGCUGGGGCAGGCGGGAUCAAAUGAGGGAUGGGAGGAGGGAGAGACGGAAGGAUUGAGGGAGGAGGGAGGGGAGGGGAGGGAGAGGGGGAAGGGAGAAAUGGAGGGAGGAAGACAGCUGGAGAGGGAGGAAUGAGGGAGGGCAGGAGGGAGAGAGCCGCAGAUAGAAAAUAAGAGAGAAGCUGGACAGAGACAGACACGUAGAAGGAAACAGAAAAUACAUCCAAAGACAAGGAGGGAGCCAUACAGAGAGACAGACAGAGACAGACACGGGGACGCACAGACAGGCACACGGAGACAUGGGCUCAGAGCCUGCACAGGGGAGUGGAAGGUGGGAGGAAAUGGAGUAUAUUGCCUACUCUGGAUUCAACCAUUUCCCUUCUCCUUGCAGACCGGGAGACUGAGGCUCAGGAAGGGGAUCAGACUCGCUCCAGACGCUACAAUAGUUUUGGAGUGGCCCAGAAUUUGCACCUGCAUCCUCUAUGGGCUCGGAGAAACCUGGGGGGAGGCAGAGGCCCCCUCCUGUCCCGGAACUGCCAAGUCCUCAGCUUCCAGGGACGAGCGUGUGUGGUCAUGGACAAGUCCCAUCCCUUCCCUGCCUGUCCUGCAUCUGGAAAUAGUCUCUAUUGGUGGAUGGAACUUAUCAAGGCUCCGAAAGGGCCUCCAAACCUGCCCCCUGCGGCAGCCAGCUGACCACGCACCGAAGAAUGCCUUGCCCCAGCAGGAGGCGCUCCCCAGGCUUUCCCCUUGCAGCCAACUGCGUCCUGGAUGGACAUCUGCCCUCAGACGUCCCUCCAUUUCCCUAGGGAUGACAUAUCCCCACCUAUGCUCAGCAUUUUCCAGGUGUCAUCCCGGACUCCUCCCGUGUCCCCAUCCCAGUCCAGUCCUGUGCAUUCCAUGUAUCCAAGGUCUCCCGCAUCUGUCCCCUCCUUGGCCCACCCCCCCUCCCCUGCCCCACAGUCUCCAUUUGCCUUGGGCCAGGAGUAGUAGCCUCCUAACCCCUCCUCCUGUCUGUAGAGGCCCCGCGCCCCAAAGCUGAACCCCUCUGCCCCAGGCUCCCUCCCGCACGGAGGCGAGGUCCUCGGCAAUGCCCUGCUCCAUCUGACCAACAUCCACCCGUGUGCUCUCAUCUGUUUCUUUCUCCUCCUACGUGCCCUGCAACACUCACCAGUCCCGAGCCACAAAGCAUGAUUCCAUCUUCUCCCGUAUGCCUGUUAACACUUUCACCUGUCCCCACCUAAAAUCCCACCUGUCCCCAGAAGUCCAGCUCAGGGGGCUCAGCCCCACCCUCCAUCCUGCAGGGUGGAGGCACGAGUCCUUCUUCUGUCUCUUUAAACUAUCCCCAAGGGCAGCCCUGGUGGCUCAGCGGUUUAGCGCCACCUUCAGCCCAGGGUGUGAUCCUGGCGACCAGGGAUGGAGUCCUAUGGAGUCCCUGCGUGGAGCCUGCUUCUCCCUCUGCCUGUGUCUCUGCCUCAGUGUGUGUGUGUCUCUCAUGAAUAUAUAAAAUAUUUUUUUAAAAAAACUAUCCCUAAGCAGAGUCUCUUCUGGAGGCAGUAUUGCCCUGUGGUUAAGAGUAAGGGCUGUGGAUUCCCGAGCCUCAGUUUUCCUGUCCGCGAUAUGGGUGUAAAAGCAGUAUUUAUCUCAGGAGGUGGGGAUGAGUGGGACCACGUGUGCAAAGCUCUCUCCGUGGCAGCUGGCACCCGGACUAUGAUCCAUGCUUGGUAGCUUUGCAGCAGAUUCUCUGUGCUCAGCUGAGUGGAAGAAAGUUCAUGGGGCCUAACGACUUGGGCUGCUAUCUAGCCCCGGGAAUGCGGCCCUCUAAAGAAUGUGGCUUCAGUGGGGGUUUGGCUGUAGCAGAGCAAAACUGGAAGAGGAGCCAGACCCUUCCUCCUCUUCCCCAAGGCUUCUCAGAGGAGCUGUCUUCCUCUCUGCGUGCUUUGUCAAGGAAGGAUCCCACCGAAAAGACAAACAGGGCGAGAGGAAGCAGUGGCCAGGAGGCAGGGCAGGGGGAACAAUCACCACAUUUCCGCUGCCAUUAGCUUCUCUGCUCUUCCCACCUGAGCUGGCCGCACUGGCUAAUGGCAGUGCUCCCAGCACCCCAUGCUCCUGUUCCCCAGCAGCUAUAGUGUGGGCAGCACUUUGGUCUAAAUGAAGAAAAUUGCUCAUUAGAUACCAGGAGUUAAUUGGCACUAUAUUUGCCAACCUCAGUGGCGCCCUGACCUCAGCCUCUCGCUUGAUAUGACAUGAUUUGGUAUGUGCUCCAGCACCGCCUUUGGGAAGUCUUCCCUGUCUCGCCUGACCCCUUCCCCCAUCCUACAACCCCCUUGCUCUCCUGCAUCGGGGCAUUCAUCACUCUGUACUUCUCUUGUCUCUUGCAAUAAUGAGCCAGAGGGCCUCAAUGACAGUGGGGUGGCUGGCGCAUAGUAGCUGAUUAAUAAACUGAUUAAAGAAACACUGUGCUCUGCUCUG